rnacentral:rRNA from 1 species
GACGAACGCUGGCGGCGUGCCUAAUACAUGCAAGUCGAGCGCAGGAAACUGACGGAACUCUUCGGAGGGAAGGCAGCGGAAUGAGCGGCGGACGGGUGAGUAACACGUAAGGAACCUGCCUCAAGGAUUGGGAUAACUCCGAGAAAUCGGAGCUAAUACCGGAUAGUUCAACGGACCGCAUGGUCCGCUGAUGAAAGGCGCUCCGGCGUCACCUUGAGAUGGCCUUGCGGUGCAUUAGCUAGUUGGUGGGGUAACGGCCCACCAAGGCGACGAUGCAUAGCCGACCUGAGAGGGUGAUCGGCCACACUGGGACUGAGACACGGCCCAGACUCCUACGGGAGGCAGCAGUAGGGAAUCUUCCACAAUGGACGAAAGUCUGAUGGAGCAACGCCGCGUGAGUGAUGAAGGUUUUCGGAUCGUAAAACUCUGUUGUAAGGGAAGAACACGUACGAGAGGGAAUGCUCGUACCUUGACGGUACCUUACGAGAAAGCCACGGCUAGCUACGUGCCAGCAGCCGCCGUAAAAC